GGGGAUAUUGCUCAUUUGGCAGAGUGCUUGCCUGGAAUGCAUAAGGUCCUGGGUUCAAUCCCCAGCACCA
rfam:Ictidomys tridecemlineatus contig037271, whole genome shotgun sequence.